rnacentral:tRNA from 1 species
GGGGUUAUGGCUCAGUGGUAGAGUGCUUGCCUAGCAUGUAUGAGGCACUGGGUUCAAUCCCCAGGACCACA